AACAAGGUUUCCGUAGGUAGAACCUGCGGAAGGAUCAUUAUCGUAAAACCGAGGUGCGAGGGCUGUCGCUGACCUUUUCGGUCGUGCACGCCCGAGUGCUCUCACACAAUCCAUCUCACCCCUUGUGCACCACCGCGUGGGUCCCUCUCCGGCUCCUCCGGAGGGGGGCUCGCGUUUUCACACAAACUUGAAGUAGUGUAGAAUGUCCUUUUUUGCGAUAACACGCAAUCAAUACAACUUUCAACAACGGAUCUCUUGGCUCUCGCAUCGAUGAAGAACGCAGCGAAAUGCGAUACGUAAUGUGAAUUGCAGAAUUCAGUGAAUCAUCGAAUCUUUGAACGCACCUUGCGCCCCUUGGCAUUCCGAGGGGCACACCCGUUUGAGUGUCGUGAAAUUCUCAAAACCCUUUCUUUUGGUCAUUUUCGACCAUCGAAAGGAUUUUGGACUUGGAGGCCUUUUUGCUGGUUUCACCUUGAAGCGAGCUCCUCCAAACGUAUUAGUGGGGUCUGCAUUGUCGGUCCUUGGCGUGAUAAGUUGUUUCUACGUCUUGGAUUUUUGGCGCUGUACACCUGCUUCUAACCGUCUCAUUGACAACGAUGGUGUUCCGGUCGCC
rnacentral:rRNA from 1 species